UCCCUUCUACCAUUCCCGUUCCUUCCUUGCAGCUCAUUAUGACAUACACCAUGAGAUGCAAAAACAACAUGGCUUGGAUUGCAGGUAUGAACAUCGUUUCACAGAAAUGCUGGGAAGUAUGAGAGAGUGAAGCACUGAAACAGCUUGCCCAAGAAACUGUGGAAUCUCCUUAAAAAUUUUUCAAAAAUUGGCCUGACCUCACCGGGCUGCUUCAGUGGUGACUAUUUCUACCUGACGAUGCAUGCAUUUUUUCAGCUUCUUCUACCAGUAUUAGCCUUUGUGUCCAGUAGCUAUGACAAAUGAAGAAAUUACACCUCAUCAAGAUGAAGUACUGCUUCACAUGUUUUGAACAGGAAAGUGAAAAAGAUUGAAAUAGCUUCAGUGGGACAUUAAGCACCUCAAAGAAGUGUAGCACCAAAAGUAAGCCUCUAUUGCCUUUCCUAAGAUGAAUAAAAGGAGCUAGCUUAAAAUGACUCACUGCAUCCAAUCCAGGAGCCAUAUAGGAGAUAUCAUGGCUUUACAAUUAACAGUGCAAAAGACCAACGAGGUGAUGUAAGGCAUUUGUGGAAGAGCCUGGUCAUUACCCACAGUGCUGAGCACAACCAUCUCUUCUGAGGGCACCAGCAGAGACAUCCUUGCUGUGUCUGGCACCUGGGACAGGCAACCAGCGUGGUGGUGAGUCUCCUCUACAACAUGUGUCCUUCUUAAGUUCAGGGCAAUCUCUCAGCUUUGCACUGGGCCUCUCAGUCCUAUUCUGUGUUGCUGUUUUAUCAGCUUGAUAAAGCUGCAACAGGAAACUGUGGGAAGAUUUAGAUCACAGCUUGUAGUCAAGAAUAGUUUGGUGAGAUCAACUGUGAUGAAUUUGAGUAUCUUAAAAUCAGAAAUGGCUUGUGAUGUAUGAUAAUGCAAAUAUUCUGAACAUGAGUGCAUGCUGUCGCUGUGUUAGAUUGUGGAGGAGGUGUAAUAUAUCAUACCUUUGCACAUAUUUAAACACAAUUUUUGUUUAAAGGAAAAAGAAAUUAGAAGAGCAUCUCUGGCCGUACUUGUAUCAGUACAAAUGAAACAAUCUGUAGUCUUUAACAUGUAUGGAAGCAGCCCUUUUAAGUGAUUAAUAUAAUAAUAUUGACUGUAAUUAGUAUUGUUUUUUAUCAGCCUCUAAUUUGGAGCACAGUGUGCCUAGUAUCUUUUGCCUACAAAUCUUGAUUGUUCACUUAAUAAAGUGCCCUUUAUUAAGGUCAGCCUUCA